rnacentral:rRNA from 1 species
UACGUAGGGUGCGAGCGUUGUCCGGAAUUAUUGGGCGUAAAGAGCUCGUAGGCGGCUUGUCACGUCGGGGUGUGAAAGCCCGGGGCUUAACCCCGGGUCUGCAUUCGAUACGGGCUAGCUAGAGUGUGGUAGGGGAGACUGGAAUUCCUGGUGUAGCGGUGAAAUGCGCAGAUAUCAGGAGGAACACCGGUGGCGAAGGCGGGUCUCUGGGCCGAUACUGACGCUGAGGAGCGAAAGCGUGGGGGAGCGAACAGG